rnacentral:tRNA from 1 species
UGGUAUCAGAGCGAUGUUC